GUCAGCACCUGCUGUUUUGUUGGGACAAGAAGACAGCAGUCUGGUCAUAGGUGCUCCUCCCUCCUGCACUGAGACUGUGUCCCCAGUGCAGGUGCUUGGUGGAUCUGAGUCCCUGGCAGAGUCUCACGUGAUGGGGCCGUGAUGUUGGACAGAAGCCACAGCACUGUACAGUUCCUGCAUGAGCCUGAAUCUGCCAGCCAGGACCAUCACUCUGAGUCUGGACAAGCAACACUUUGUCAAGCCUGAUGCAACAACAAUUCUGCAACAUCUCAGAUUGGCCUGUAAAACUGAGUGCUGUGCUCAAACUAAGGAAAAAAAAAGAGCUACAAGAAAGAGCUGUUACCUGACACAGAUACUGCAUCAAAUUUUUUUUAUUUGCUUUUAUGUAGUUUGUCUUAUCUUCAAGGAAACAGAAUCAGAUUUUAACAAAAGCAGCAACAGCUGCAGACCUUUACUCUGCCCUGAAAAAAAGAGCACUGGUUACCAUACUUAGUGUCAUUUAAAAGCUUCCAGGAGUGGUCUUACUUUACAAUGCUUCCUUUUAGCCAAAGAAAAAUAAGAGUUAUCUGUGAAUACUUUGCAUUCCAAAUGUUUUAACAAACCCUUUAAGAAAUGUUGGUAAGGAUUUCUAGUAAUGACAGUUGCUUUAAAAUAUCUGCACUCAAAAUAUUGGACCAUAUGUAAUUUUUUUAUUCUACAAAGUAACAGGGUCACAUAAAUAUUUUUCAAUUCCUGAGAAUUUAUCACCCUUUAAAAAUAGUUCAUAUUGUUCAAGCUUGGAAUACCAAGGAAGCAUCUCAUCAGAGGCUGGAUCCUACUUUGUACUGGCACUGUAUCAAUGGGGCUAUUCACGUCAGUGAAACAAGAAUGUUUGGGCUCUGGUAAUGGAAUGAACAUCAAUUAUAUAUAUGAAAUUGGCUCAGUAGAAUUAUCUUCCUGCUUUAUUUCUUUUAUUAAUUCCUCAUCAUAUUUAGUAGCUUGAAGCAUUUGAAAAACAAAUGGUAAUAUACUGACCAUAAAGUCUAAAUGGGUAAUGCUUUAAUUAUCUGGUGUCAUUAAGCCAAGUCUUUGAUAACCAUGUAUGAACACCUUUGGCUCACUUCUAACAUCUGUGAACAUUUUCCAAUUACCAUAUAUUCUGAUUACUUAUCAAGGUAAUCAGCAUAUUCUAUGACCUGAUAGGCCUUGUUGCUAAUCUAAGAGCAAUGUUAUCAUAAAUUAAUACAUUCCCAUGCUAGAGAGUCCUUUCUGAUUAUGUAGCUUGUCCUCUUGCAUUUCAGAGGCCAUGCAUUGUCAGCCACUCACAUCUGUUUCAAGCCCUCCUUUUGUGGCAGUCACUAAGCCUCCACUUGCUCAUUGUUUUGCUGAAGAGCACAGGAUGAGUUACCUAAACCUCAGGCUGUGACAUAGUUCCAUUGCAGUUACUUUCACUUCACACUUGUCUCUGAUUUAAUCAAUUGAUGUAAUCAAUUUGAUUACACUGGUAACUUUUU
rnacentral:lncRNA from 1 species